AAAUUGAAGAGUUUGAUCAUGGCUCAGAUUGAACGCUGGCGGCAGGCCUAACACAUGCAAGUCGAACGGUAACAGGAAACAGCUUGCUGUUUCGAUGACGAGUGGCGGACGGGUGAGUAAUGUCUGGGAAACUGCCUGAUGGAGGGGGAUAACUACUGGAAACGGUAGCUAAUACCGCAUAACGUCGCAAGACCAAAGAGGGGGACCUUCGGGCCUCUUGCCAUCGGAUGUGCCCAGAUGGGAUUAGCUAGUAGGUGGGGUAACGGCUCACCUAGGCGACGAUCCCUAGCUGGUCUGAGAGGAUGACCAGC
rnacentral:rRNA from 1 species